rnacentral:rRNA from 1 species
UACGGAAGGCAGCAGUGGGGAAUAUUGCACAAUGGGCGCAAGCCUGAUGCAGCCAUGCCGCGUGUAUGAAGAAGGCCUUCGGGUUGUAAAGUACUUUCAGUCGUGAGGAAGGUGUUAAGGUUAAUAACCUUAGCAAUUGACGUUAGCGACAGAAGAAGCACCGGCUAACUCCGUGCCAGCAGCCGCGGUAAUACGGAGGGUGCGAGCGUUAAUCGGAAUUACUGGGCGUAAAGGGCACGCAGGCGGUUAAUUAAGUUGGAUGUGAAAUCCCCGGGCUUAACCUGGGAAUGGCAUUCAAGACUGGUUAGCUAGAGUCUUGUAGAGGGGGUAGAAUUCCAUGUGUAGCGGUGAAAUGCGUAGAGAUGUGGAGGAAUACCGGCGGCGAAGGCGGCCCCUGGACAAAGACUGACGCUCAUGUGCGAAAGCGUGGGGAGCAAACAGGGAUUAGAUACC